GGUCUUGAGUUUGAAUCCUUUUCCUUAUAAAAUAGCUUAAUUUUGAAAAUUUUCUCCUUCCGCCUAUUUUUGUGCUACCCAUACCUUAUAACCUAGGUAUAAAUAUCACUAUUCAUCCUAUAGUCAUUAAUUUCCAACCCUAGUUGCCUCAUCCAACUUCUCUCUUCUCUUCCUCUUCAAUUUUUCUUCUCUUCUCCUUCACUUUGCCGCUGCCCAAAACCCCUUUUUUGUCACCCAUCUUUUCUUCAUUAGCAGUGGACUUUUGUACCAUUUUCCUUCUCUUCAUUGCUAUAUUAUUCCCUUAAUUUUCCAGUCUUAAAUAUGAUAUUUUUAUCACUUGAAAGAAUACCUCCAUAGUUGCCACAAGGUUCUCCAUUGUCGACCCUUAGAUAUGUCUCAAGCGCUAAUUUAAAAACCCCGAAUCAGCAAUGAAGCCGUUAGUCAUUCACACGCACACUACACGAAUUUAAGGUUUUAGGGACGUUUUUUCCACAACCAAUCAGUAAGUUUUUUCCAUUUGUUUCUUGAGAAAAAUUAAAAAAAGUCAAGCGUUUUAUUUCAUUUUGUAUAUUAGGCUUUCAGAAAUUUCAGGGUCAAAGGAUAACAAUUUUAGGAGGUAUUUUCACUACACGGAAUGUUCAGAUCGAUUAAGUUAUACUUGUUUGGGGACUUCAUGAAUUCUGGGCUUUCGAUAAUGUGUUUAAUUUUCAGAAAAGUUACGAUGGAGACAAUUUGUUACUUGUAUGCCUAAGCUUAGCUUUGUGCUUGAAAUUUUAAUGCUUUAUAUGCCUAAAACCUUUGUAUAUGAUUUGGUGAAUCAACGGAUCGGAUGGACCAACUAUGACUGUAAGUGUCAAAAUGAACUUUCAUAUUAUACAUUAGAAUAGAUUUAUCCACUAAUCUCCAGUUUAACAACCUCCUAAAUCCUGUAAAACGACUUUUCCACCAUCACGUUGUUAAAAGGACAUAUUCAAUAGAAGCGGAAGAUGUUAAAAUUACAGGUUUCAAAGGUUUACUGUGAUUGACUGUAGUGUAAAUUACAUUCAUACAUGUUCUUUUUUUACGGUAAAUUUAUUUUAUACUAGCGUUCUUGCAUUUGUUACUUUAA